CUCGUAGGUGGCCAACUAAGUCAGACGUGAAAUCCCUCAGCUUAACUGGGAACUGCGUCUGAUACUGGAUGGCUUGAGAUUGGGAGAGGGAUGCGGAAUUCCAGGUGUAGCGGUGAAAUGCGUAGAUAUCUGGAGGAACACCGGUGGCGAAGGCGGCAUCCUGGACCAACACUGACACUGAGGAGCGAAAGCCAGGGGAGCAAACG
rnacentral:rRNA from 1 species